ensembl:lncRNA
AUGUUUCCUAGGGUUUAUGGGAGUUACGACCUGAAAGCCACAAGUUGCCCACUCCUGCACUACAAGCAGGUGCCAUUUGAGGAUGACAUGGGCAAAAUGAAGGCCCUAGUGCAGGGCUUUGCAAAGUGUGCGCUGCAGUUCCUUGACGCACCUUGGGGAGCUGCCAAACUCAGCUGGGGUGCCACAGAAUCUUCUCCGUUUCUUCACCAAGCCGGCAGUUCUGCUCCAGCUCCUUCAUGCUCCUUUGCCUCCAUAUUGGCCCCUCGCUGCUGCUCCUGCUCCAUCAUUGCUGCCACCGCUCAAGGAAACCCCAAGAUGAAAAUGUUUGGGAACCACUGCCUUAGAGGCUCACACUACUUCAUGCGUCUCCCUCCUUUUUAUGAGCCUCCUCCUCAUGCUGGACAUUCCAGCUGAAUACAUGAGAGGUCUCCCACCUCACCAGUCAACAUUAGCCUCAUUUCAGAGGAACAUGUGGAGAAGGAAUACCUGGCAAGUGGUUCAAGAACAAAAGAAGAGCUAGAUCAAAGCAAAUGCCCAGUUAGUUGAUUAUUCUGUUCUUAUGUAGCAAACCUGACACCUAUGGGGAGCCCACCAGCAACUUAUGAGUGUGACAGCCCCCCUAUACAUACAUUUGUUCUUCCCAGCAACUAAUAUACACAGGCAUGCUGCUCUCUGGUAUGAAAGAGAUUUUAUAUCUACUGUAAGCACUAUCUUCCAUAAAGUUAUCUGGUCUCCUUUUAAAGCCAUCCAGUUUGAUUGUUGUUGUUUAGUCCUUAAGUCGUCUCUGACUCUUCAUGACCCCCAUGGACCAGAGCACGCCAGGCCCUCCUGUCUUCCACUGCCUCCUGGAGUUGGGUCAAAUUCAUGUUGGUCGCUUCAGUGACACUGUCCAACCAUCUCGUCCUCUGUCGUCCCCUUCUCCUCUUGCCUUCACAUCUCCUGGUAGCCUUCACUAAAUCUUGUAGCAAUGAAUUCCACAGCUUAAGUAUCCAUUUGAAGAAGUAAAUCCUUUUAUUUAUCCAUUAUUUCCUACCUUUCAGGUUCAAUGCUUUUCGUGAACCCAGGUUCUACUGUUUUACACAGUAUAGCAAACUAGGGUGGCUGCUUCAUCUCAAGCCUAUCAGGCCCAGGGUCCCGCUAAUUGGUCUUAAUCUUGGCUCCACCUUCCAGUGUGUGCUAACCUACAUUUAGACACUGCAAAUGUUGCUUGAGAUACCCAGUGUGGUUUAGUGGAUAAAGUGAUAAGAGUAGGACUCAGGAGAUCUGGAUUAAAAUCUCUGCUUUGCCAUGGAAACUCACUGAGGAUGUGCAACUGGUAAAACCAUUCCUUAAAUAUCUCACUUACCUUUAAAGCCCUCUUAGGGUCACUAUAAGUCAGUUCCAACUUGACAGCACGUAACAACUCAAAACAGAAUUAUAUAAGGCAACCUUUAAGCCCUCAAAUGUGGUAAUUCUAACAUUUAAACGUUAUGUUUUCUGUAGAUGACUAUACUUGAGCCAGUUAUAGCACCAUUUUUAUUAUGUUAUUGUUAUUAUGGGAAUGAAGUGGGUGGUGGUUGUGGGGGUUUGCUUGUUUCCCUACUGUUCAGAGUAGUGUAAAUUCACUAAUUGUUCAGUAUAUAAAUUAUAUGCCGCCCAUCUAGACAUAGUCUACUAAAUUUAGAUAGACAGACAGACAGACAGACUGACUGACUGACUGUGACUGACUGACUGACUGACUGACUGAUUGAUUGAUUGAUUGAUUCUCUGUCAGGUGCCUGCCAGUUUUCAAAAGUAGUAGUCAAGUGAUAAAUGUUGAAAUACAGGAGCACAUCAGGGACAGUGCAUACCUAUACACAGACCAACUGUAACCUUUUGCCUUGAACUAGAAAUGGUUUUGCAAAUAAGCAUUAGCAAACUGCAAAUGUGAUGUACAAAGCCCAACAAAGAAAAGCUUCUGCUUGAUUGUAUUCCUUAUUUUCUUACUCAUUUUGUGCCAGCUAACUUGUCACAGACCAUAAUAAAACCUGAAAUCCUCACA